CAGUCGCCGCGGUAAUACGAAGGGUGCAAGCGUUACUCGGAAUUACUGGGCGUAAAGCGUGCGUAGGUGGUGGUUUAAGUCCGCUGUGAAAGCCCUGGGCUCAACCUGGGAAUUGCAGUGGAUACUGGGUCACUAGAGUGUGGUAGAGGAUAGUGGAAUUUCCGGUGUAGCAGUGAAAUGCGUAGAGAUCGGAAGAAACAUCAGUGGCGAAGGCGGCCAUCUGGGACAACACUGACGCUGAAGCACGAAAGCGUGGGGAGCGAACAGGAUUAGAUACCCCCGUAGUCCCUGUCUCUUAUAC
rnacentral:rRNA from 1 species